AAAAGAUUUAUUUAUUUAAUAUAUACAAGUACACUGUUACUCUCUUCAGACACACCCCAGAAGAGGGCAUUGCAUCUCAUUACAGAUGGUUGUUAGCUACCAUGUGGUUGCUGGGAAUUGAAUUCAGGACCUCUGGAAGAGCAGUCAACCACUGAGCCAUCUCUCCAGCACUCCCAGGGGUUAUUUCUGCUGUAUUCUUGUACCAUAGCAUGAUUUGUUUGUUUUUUGUUUGUUUUUCUUCACAGAACAGUCAUUCCUUUCCUUUAAGAUUUUUGGUAGUUCUGGGGAUUGAACCACAGCCUCAUGCAUGCUAGGAGGUGAGCUAGGUGAGCAGCCGGCACUACUUGCCAGCUCCCUUUUAGCUUUUGCUUUUGAGGGCGUGUCUCACUAAGUUGUCUAGGCUGACUUUGAACUGGCUCCAUAGCCCAGGCCCGGGCAAGGCAUGGAGUUGAUUCCAUCGUUUAGCCGGGCUCUGCCUUGGAGAGGGGCACUCGGUUCUUUGGGUAGAUGAACGCAUGGUUGACUGUGCUUGCCAGGGGGUCAGGGCUCACACCCAUUCGAAAGUGCAUAUUGAUACAAUGUAACACAAACCCAUCUAUGAGGAAGUCUGCUGCAGCGAAGGGAACAGAGAGAUUAUUACCGCUUACCAGGAAUGGGCUUUUGAGUUUGGAAGUAUUACUUACACAUAAGGGCAAGAACAGGGCUCCAGAGCUCCUAGCUCUGCACCGUGGGGGAUCAAGUCACUCUGGAAGCUGCUGAGGCCCCAGGAUCCCUUUUGACCCAGAGGUUACAUUUUGCUUCAUUCCUGUGCAGUGUUUGCGAGGUAACGUUCAUUCCUGUGCAGUGUUUGCGAGGUAACGUAGCGAAACCUAGAUUUGAGAGAUACUGAUGUUGCCUCACAGCACCUUUCUGAGAGUGUGUACUUAGGCCAAGCGCCAGGCUCCUGGGGGCCAUGGAGGGGGCUUGCUUAGAGGAACUUGAGAUGGCACAGGUGUCAAGGUACAUGGCAGCCACGAAAUACCUAGUUCUGCUAGGCAGCAACCAGGCCCUAAGGCCUUCUGAAGCAAGCGGGGUGACCCAUUCUCCAGGGGAAGACAACUUCGGUUUCCACAUAACAUUGGCAGCUCCCAGCCAGGAGCCACAGUUGAUGGCCUAAGAUUCUCAUGCCUCCACUUUGGGGGUGUCAGCUCUACGCAAAAGACAGAAGGGCAUUCCAUGUUAGACUCAAAAGAUUUGGGCAUAAAAUCAGCCUCCUUGUGU
rnacentral:lncRNA from 1 species